rnacentral:misc_RNA from 1 species
UCCGGUUUGACACCGGCAGUCUCCCAUGAGUCCUCAGCCGAACUGUUAGCAACAUGGGAUAGGGGUUGCGCUCGUAGCGGGACUUAAGCCAACACCUCACGGCACGAGCUGACGACAGCCAUGCAGCACCUGUGCAGGGCCCCGAAGGACACGGGCUUUCACCCGCUUUAACUAGCAUGUCAAACCCAGGUAAGGUUCUUCGCGUUGCAUCGAAUUAAUCCACAUAAUCCACCGCUUGUGCGGGUCCCCGUCAAUUCCUUUGAGUUUUAGCCUUGCGGCCGUACUCCCCAGGCGGUCAACUUCACGCGUUAGCUUCGUUACCAAGGAAUUGCUUCCCCGACAACCAGUUGACAUAGUUUAGGGCGUGGACUAC